rnacentral:rRNA from 1 species
AUUGAACGCUGGCGGCAGGCCUAACACAUGCAAGUCGAGCGGAUGCAGUGAGCUUGCUCCUGGAUUCAGCGGCGGACGGGUGAGUAAUGCCUAGCAAUCUGCCUGGUAGUGGGGGAUAACUUCCGGAAAUGGGCGCUAUUUCCGCCUACGCCCUGAGGCAUCACGUGGGGGAUCUUCGGACCUCACGCUAUCAGAUGAUCCUAGGUCGGAUUAGCUAGUUGGUGGGGUAAAGGCCUACCAAGGCGACGAUCCGUAACUGGUCUGAGAGGAUGAUCAGGCACACUGGAACUGAGACACGGUCCAGACUCCUACGGGAGGCAGCAGUGGGGAAUAUUGGACAAUGGGCGAAAGCCUGAUCCAGCCAUGCCGCGUGUGGGAAGAAGGUCUUCGGAUUGUAAAGCACUUUAGGUUGGAAGGAAGGGCAGUAAGUUAAUACCUUGCUGUAUUGACGGUACCAACAGAAUAAGCACCGGCUAACUUCGUG